rnacentral:rRNA from 1 species
UCAGUCGCGUUGUCCGGAACUCAGCCUUGCUUUUGCUUGGUGCACUUUCCGGAUGACGGGUCAGCAUCGAUUUUGACCGUCGGAAAAGGGCUGGAGUAAUGUGGCACCUCCGGGUGUGUUAUAGACUCUGGUCGCAUACGGCGGUUGGGAUCGAGGAACGCAGCGCGCCGCGAGGCAGGGGUUCGCCCACUUUCGCGCUUAGGAUGCUGGCAUAAUGGCUUUAAACGACCCGUCUUGAAACACGGACCAAGGAGUCUAACAUACUUGCGAGUGUUUGGGUGGAAAACCCGAGCGCGUAAUGAAAGUGAAAGUUGAGAUCCCUGUCGUGGGGAGCAUCGACGCCCGGACCAGACGUUCUCUGACGGAUCCGCGGUAGAGCAUGUAUGUUGGGACCCGAAAGAUGGUGAACUAUGCCUGAAUAGGGUGAAGCCAGAGGAAACUCUGGUGGAGGCUCGUAGCGAUUCUGACGUGCA